GAGGUUCCCCCUAUGGGAUGAAAAGGGAAUUUGGUGACGUCGUAAAAGACUGAAUCCAAAGCUGCCCCCGCAACUGUAAAUGGUUAGACAUUGUCAUGUUACCCACUGGUCUUGAACUUAAAGAUCGGGAAGGAAAGGCAAAUGUUGUUGAUCCAUGAGCCAGGAGACCUGCCAUCGCAU
rnacentral:ncRNA from 1 species